GAAGUACCAAUCCUUCCUGUAGCAGCUGCUGCGGCACCACUUACAGUGCCUCUUCCAACCACUAUUCCAAUUCCUUAUUCUACUAAUAGCAGAUAAAGUAACAGGUGGACCAGAUGCACAUACGCUUUGGUGAUUGAUAUCAUUUAGACCAGAAUUAGGUGUCCAACUGCUGACUUUGAUGGCAAACCCAAUCCAUUGCUACUGGUACAAACACAACCAUCAAUAAA
rnacentral:lncRNA from 1 species